rnacentral:rRNA from 1 species
UACGGAGGGUGCGAGCGUUGUCCGGAAUCAUUGGGCGUAAAGGGCGCGUAGGUGGCCCGGUCAGUUCGUGGUGAAAGCGCGGGGCUCAACCCUGCGUCGGCCAUGAAUACUGCCGCGGCUGGAGCCACUGUAGAGGCAGGCGGAAUUCCGGGGUGUAGCGGUGGAAUGCGUAGAGAUCCGGAAGAACACCGGUGGCGAAGGCGGCCUGCUGGGCAGUCGCUGACACUGAGCGCGACAGCGUGGGGAGCAACAGG